rnacentral:rRNA from 1 species
UACGGGGGGGGCAAGCGUUGUUCGGAAUUACUGGGCGUAAAGGGCUCGUAGGUGGCCAACUAAGUCAGACGUGAAAUCCCUCGGCUUAACCGGGGAACUGCGUCUGAUACUGGAUGGCUUGAGUUCGGGAGAGGGAUGCGGAAUUCCAGGUGUAGCGGUGAAAUGCGUAGAUAUCAGGAGGAACACCGGUUGCGAAGGCAGCUCGCUGGGACGUAACUGACGCUGAGACGCGAAAGCGUGGGGAGCAAACAGG